UGGAAGGGAAAAACCGCGUGGCUACCUCUGCGGCCGCUCAGACCACUUAAUAGCAAAGUGCGUUUUAGCACAUAAAAAACAAGGAGAACAAUUACAAUCAAAACACAAAACAAAUAGAAGACAACCCUUGCUACCAACACCACAAAACCCACAAAUGAUCCGAGAGAACGGAAGAGC